rnacentral:rRNA from 1 species
GUAGUCCACGCCCUAAACGAUGCGAACUGGAUGUUGGGCUCAACUCGGAGCUCAGUGUCGAAGCUAACGCGUUAAGUUCGCCGCCUGGGGAGUACGGUCGCAAGACUGAAACUCAAAGGAAUUGACGGGGGCCCGCACAAGCGGUGGAGUAUGUGGUUUAAUUCGAUGCAACGCGCAGAACCUUACCUGGUCUUGACAUGUCUGGAAUCCUGCAGAGAUGCGGGAGUGCCUUCGGGAGCCAGAACACAGGUGCUGCAUGGCUGUCGUCAGCUCGUGUCGUGAGAUGUUGGGUUAAGUCCCGCAACGAGCGCAACCCUUGUCCUUAGUUGCCAGCACGUAAUGGUGGGAAC